CGAGUGCAGAGGAGGAGCAAGGAACAGGCCAGGGAGGACUGGCGAGUGCAGAGGAGGAGCGAGGAACAGGCCAGGGAGGACCGGCGAGUGCAGAGGAGGAGCGAUUGAUGAGUGCAGAGGAGCAGCAAGGAACAGGCCAGGGAGGACUGGCGAGUGCAGAGGAGGAGCGAGGAACAGGCCAGGGAGGACCGGCGAGUGCAGAGGAGGAGCGAGGAACAUGCCAGGGAGGAUUGAUGAGUGCAGAGGAGGAGCAAGGAACAGGCCAGGGAGGAUUGAUGAGUGCAGAGGAGGAGUAAGGAACAGGCCAGGGAGGACUGGCGAGUGCAGAGGAGGAGCGAGGAACAGGCCAGGGAGGACUGGCGAGUGCAGAGAAGGAGUGAGGAACAGGCCAGGGAGGAUUGAUGAGUGCAGAGGAGGAGCAAGGAACAGGCCAGGGAGGAUCAGCGAGUGCAGAGAAGGAGCGAGGAACAGGCCAGGAAUGAUUGAUGAGUGCAGAGGAGGAGCGAGGAACAGGCCAGGGAGGAUCAGCGAGUGCAGAGGAGGAGCGAGGAACAUGCCAGGGAGGAUUGAUGAGUGCAGAGGAGGAGCGAGGAACAGGCCAGGGAGGACUGGCGAGUGCAGAGGAGGAGCGAGGAACAGGCCAGGGAGGAUUGAUGAGUGCAGAGGAGGAGCGAGGAACAUGCCAGGGAGGAUUGAUGAGUGCAGAGGAGGAGCGAGGAACAGGCCAGGGAGGACUGGCGAGUGCAGAGGAGGAGCGAGGAACAGGCCAGGGAGGAUUGAUGAGUGCAGAGGAGGAGCAAGGAACAGGCCAGGGAGGACCAGCGAAUGCAGAGGAGGAGCGAGGAACAUAGCAGGAAGGGGGCCAAGAGAAGGGCCUCCUGUCUUCCCUUCCCCAGUGCAGGUUUCCAGACCCACAGCCGCUCAAGCUCAGAGAGAGGAAAAGUUUCUCUCUGAAUGAAUCCUGAAGCUAAUAAUGUUAUAUGAGACUAGGCCGGG
rnacentral:lncRNA from 1 species